AUUUAAAUAGCUUAAAUUUAAAGUGUAGCACUGAAGAUGCUGGGAUAAUAUGAUUAAUUAUUUUUAAAUA
rnacentral:tRNA from 1 species